GCUGAGUACCUGAAUGCAGCACGAGAGCUCCAGCGAUGUAGAGGGAAGGAGAGGAAGAGGAGGAGGGUGGAGGCAGAUCGAGGAGAUGAAUGAAGAGGAUCCCCGGUAUCUAAGCUGACUGAUGGGGUGAGCAUCUUGUCUUCCCUCGCUCGAUAGGGCCGACAGGAAGCGGAGGGAGGACAGGAUGGAGGAGAGGAAGCAGUUUCUUUGUGGGGUGGUGGAAGGUCAGCUGCGUACUCUCAUAGCGGAAGCCCAGUUGAGAGGCCUGAAGUUUGUUUACGCCCUCUCUCCUGGUCAGGACAUCGUCUUCUCUUCUUCCUGUGAUCUGACACUACUCAAGCGCAAGCUGAGACAGGUGUCAGACCUGGGUUGGCUAGGCUUUACAUCAUUCCAUUUCAGGCCGACAGCGAGGCCUUUUCUUCAUUCGCCCAUGCUCAGGUCACUGUAACCAAUGACAUGUAUCGGUUCUUGGGGGAACCGCCUGUUUUCCUAUUUUGCCCAACAGAGUACUGUGGUUCUCUGUGUUCUCCCAGUGUAUCAAAGUCUCCCUACCUGCAGACUGUUGGAGAGGACCUGCUGCCCAACAUAACUGUGAUAUGGACAGAUUUCUGCGCCAGCUCUGGAAGCUCAAUCUGCCUAAGGAGUUGCUGAUCCACUUUUACACAGCCGUCAUCCAGUCUGUCCUCUUCACAUCCAUCACUGUCUGGUUUGGAUCUGCCACCAAAGAGAACAGGGACAGACUACAACGGACAGUCAGGACUGCAGAAAGAUCAUCGGUGCCAACCUGCCCUGUGUUAAAAUAAAUAAAUACAAAAAUAAAUAAACAGUAUCCGUGUGUGUGUGCUGUGAAUUUAAUUCAUAUUGUUCGUCACAAAAUUUAAAUAAAAUAAAUUAUGAACAAUUACUAAAAUACCAAACAAUGAAAAUAAUAAUUUGAAAUUUUUACAGUACUAAAUUAUUUAAUAUAUUUAUCAGUCUAGACUGAGUUUCCACUGGUUAUCCUCAGUUUUUGGAAUAAGGAGAUGUAUUUUUCUGCAAUGAUUUGGCAUUCUGGCAUUUCUCCUAGUAAAUAGAGGAGUUUCUGUGUGUCUGAUUUAAAUUUGAAUUUGGGGUAUAUUUGGUAAAUGUUUGCGACGGGUAUUUUUCUCAUGCCAACGGAGGCUCUGGUGAGCUGCUGAAGAUCUAUGGUAGAAUUAGCUUUUUUUUGUGGAUAAUGUAAACUAACUGUUCAAAUAACCUUAUGUGUUAGAUCUCUCCCUGCUCCAAAACAGCUGAUUCAAACUAUCAACUCAUUAUGAAUGCUGAAGCGGUCUAAAUCAUCUGUGUUGAAGCAGGGAGAGAUUAAAUCAUGCAGGACAGGAGGUAACAUUAACUUUCCCCAUGACAGGGUUAGGAAACACUGUCACGAGUUUAUGCAAUGUUGCUACAAGUAGUACAUCAACUUCAGUUCAAAUAACAGCCAGCCAAGUCUUUGUAUGCUGUUUAAGUGUGAAAACAGCUACAUCCAACAACCUGAAAUAAACAACAAAUAAUCAACCAAAGUGUCAUAGUCAAAAUAUUAACAAAUGCAAACCUAUGCCCUUGCUAAAUGCUUUACCAAAAACGUUUAAUGAAGCCGAACACACAGUAGCUUAUUUGUGUGAUUUAGAUGUACAAUAUUGAUAGCAGUAGCUAUUUUGAGGGCAAACACAUACAAAGAUCCAUGCAUUCAGACUUCUGUCAGUUUUGGAUAAUGCUAAACAGUCAUCUACCAUCGCCAUGAUUUGAAGUGUAGCAAAAAAGUCCAAGAAUGCAUCGAGUGUGUUAUUUAUGGUUAUUUCAUGUCCUGACAUUGGAGCAGACCUGCGAGCGGAUCCUGCACCGGAAGCAACUCCCAAGUGGAUGUCUGCAGCCAGACCUUUCUCAAAUUUUGCCAGAUUUCAACUGGAAUAUAGAUUUUAAU